rnacentral:tRNA from 1 species
GGCCCCUUGGUCAAGCGGUUAAGACACCGCCCUUUCACGGCGGUAACAGGGGUUCGAAUCCCCUAGGGGUCACCA